UAUACAGGUGGAAUGUGGGGCAUUAGAAUGGUAGUGUAUACAGGUGGAAUGUGGGGCAUUAGAAUGGUAGUGUAGUGUAUACAGGUGGAAUGUGGGGCAUUAGAAUGGUAGUGUAUACAGGUGGAAUGUGGGGCAUUAGAAUGGUAGUGUAGUGUAUACAGGUGGAAUGUGGGGCAUUAGAAUGGUAGUGUAGUGUAUACAGGUGGAAUGUGGGGCAUUAGAAUGGUAGUGUAUACAGGUGGAAUGUGGGGCAUUAGAAUGGUAGUGUAUACAGGUGGAAUGUGGGGCAUUAGAAUGGUAGUGUAUACAGGUGGAAUGUGGGGCAUUAGAAUGGUAGUGUAUACAGGUGGAAUGUGGGGCAUUAGAAUGGUAGUGUAUACAGGUGGAAUGUGGGGCAUUAGAAUGGUAGUGUAUACAGGUGGAAUGUGGGGCAUUAGAAUGGUAGUGUAGUGUAUACAGGUGGAAUGUGGGGCAUUAGAAUGGUAGUGUAUACAGGUGGAAUGUGGGGCAUUAGAAUGGUAGUGUAUACAGGUGGAAUGUGGGGCAUUAGAAUGGUAGUGUAUACAGGUGGAAUGUGGGGCAUUAGAAUGGUAGUGUAUACAGGUGGAAUGUGGGGCAUUAGAAUGGUAGUGUAUACAGGUGGAAUGUGGGGCAUUAGAAUGGUAGUGUAUACAGGUGGAAUGUGGGGCAUUAGAAUGGUAGUGUAUACAGGUGGAAUGUGGGGCAUUAGAAUGGUAGUGUAUACAGGUGGAAUGUGGGGCAUUAGAAUGGUAGUGUAUACAGGUGGAAUGUGGGGCAUUAGAAUGGUAGUGUAUACAGGUGGAAUGUGGGGCAUUAGAAUGGUAGUGUAGUGUAUACAGGUGGAAUGUGGGGCAUUAGAAUGGUAGUGUAUACAGGUGGAAUGUGGGGCAUUAGAAUGGUAGUGUAGUGUAUACAGGUGGAAUGUGGGGCAUUAGAAUGGUAGUGUAUACAGGUGGAAUGUGGGGCAUUAGAAUGGUAGUGUAGUGUAUACAGGUGGAAUGUGGGGCAUUAGAAUGGUAGUGUAUACAGGUGGAAUGUGGGGCAUUAGAAUGGUAGUGUAGUGUAUACAGGUGGAAUGUGGGGCAUUAGAAUGGUAGUGUAUACAGGUGGAAUGUGGGGCAUUAGAAUGGUAGUGUAUACAGGUGGAAUGUGGGGCAUUAGAAUGGUAGUGUAUACAGGUGGAAUGUGGGGCAUUAGAAUGGUAGUGUAUACAGGUGGAAUGUGGGGCAUUAGAAUGGUAGUGUAUACAGGUGGAAUGUGGGGCAUUAGAAUGGUAGUGUAUACAGGUGGAAUGUGGGGCAUUAGAAUGGUAGUGUAUACAGGUGGAAUGUGGGGCAUUAGAAUGGUAGUGUAGUGUAUACAGGUGGAAUGUGGGGCAUUAGAAUGGUAGUGUAUACAGGUGGAAUGUGGGGCAUUAGAAUGGUAGUGUAUACAGGUGGAAUGUGGGGCAUUAGAAUGGUAGUGUAUACAGGUGGAAUGUGGGGCAUUAGAAUGGUAGUGUAGUGUAUACAGGUGGAAUGUGGGGCAUUAGAAUGGUAGUGUAUACAGGUGGAAUGUGGGGCAUUAGAAUGGUAGUGUAGUGUAUACAGGUGGAAUGUGGGGCAUUAGAAUGGUAGUGUAUACAGGUGGAAUGUGGGGCAUUAGAAUGGUAGUGUAUACAGGUGGAAUGUGGGGCAUUAGAAUGGUAGUGUAUACAGGUGGAAUGUGGGGCAUUAGAAUGGUAGUGUAUACAGGUGGAAUGUGGGGCAUUAGAAUGGUAGUGUAUACAGGUGGAAUGUGGGGCAUUAGAAUGGUAGUGUAGUGUAUACAGGUGGAAUGUGGGGCAUUAGAAUGGUAGUGUAUACAGGUGGAAUGUGGGGCAUUAGAAUGGUAGUGUAUACAGGUGGAAUGUGGGGCAUUAGAAUGGUAGUGUAUACAGGUGGAAUGUGGGGCAUUAGAAUGGUAGUGUAUACAGGUGGAAUGUGGGGCAUUAGAAUGGUAGUGUAGUGUAUACAGGUGGAAUGUGGGGCAUUAGAAUGGUAGUGUAGUGUAUACAGGUGGAAUGUGGGGCAUUAGAAUGGUAGUGUAUACAGGUGGAAUGUGGGGCAUUAGAAUGGUAGUGUAUACAGGUGGAAUGUGGGGCAUUAGAAUGGUAGUGUAUACAGGUGGAAUGUGGGGCAUUAGAAUGGUAGUGUAUACAGGUGGAAUGUGGGGCAUUAGAAUGGUAGUGUAUACAGGUGGAAUGUGGGGCAUUAGAAUGGUAGUGUAGUGUAUACAGGUGGAAUGUGGGGCAUUAGAAUGGUAGUGUAUACAGGUGGAAUGUGGGGCAUUAGAAUGGUAGUGUAGUGUAUACAGGUGGAAUGUGGGGCAUUAGAAUGGUAGUGUAGUGUAUACAGGUGGAAUGUGGGGCAUUAGAAUGGUAGUGUAGUGUAUACAGGUGGAAUGUGGGGCAUUAGAAUGGUAGUGUAGUGUAUACAGGUGGAAUGUGGGGCAUUAGAAUGGUAGUGUAUACAGGUGGAAUGUGGGGCAUUAGAAUGGUAGUGUAUACAGGUGGAAUGUGGGGCAUUAGAAUGGUAGUGUAGUGUAUACAGGUGGAAUGUGGGGCAUUAGAAUGGUAGUGUAUACAGGUGGAAUGUGGGGCAUUAGAAUGGUAGUGUAUACAGGUGGAAUGUGGGGCAUUAGAAUGGUAGUGUAUACAGGUGGAAUGUGGGGCAUUAGAAUGGUAGUGUAUACAGGUGGAAUGUGGGGCAUUAGAAUGGUAGUGUAUACAGGUGGAAUGUGGGGCAUUAGAAUGGUAGUGUAUACAGGUGGAAUGUGGGGCAUUAGAAUGGUAGUGUAUACAGGUGGAAUGUGGGGCAUUAGAAUGGUAGUGUAUACAGGUGGAAUGUGGGGCAUUAGAAUGGUAGUGUAUACAGGUGGAAUGUGGGGCAUUAGAAUGGUAGUGUAUACAGGUGGAAUGUGGGGCAUUAGAAUGGUAGUGUAUACAGGUGGAAUGUGGGGCAUUAGAAUGGUAGUGUAUACAGGUGGAAUGUGGGGCAUUAGAAUGGUAGUGUAUACAGGUGGAAUGUGGGCAUUAGAAUGGUAGUGUAUACAGGUGGAA